GCCUGGUUAGCUCAAUCGGUAGAGCGUUUGACUCUUAAAUUGCUUAGCAAUCAAAAGGCUGCGGGUUCGAGCCCCGCAUCGGGCU
rnacentral:tRNA from 1 species